rnacentral:rRNA from 1 species
AAGGCUCGGUUGUAACCUCUUCAGCAGGGAAGAAGCAGCCGGGUUUCCUGGUUGUGACGGUACCUGCAGAAGAAGCACCGGCUAACUACGUGC